rnacentral:rRNA from 1 species
UCCGGAGGGGGCUAGCGUUGUUCGGAAUUACUGGGCGUAAAGCGCACGUAGGCGGCUUUGCAAGUUAGAGGUGAAAGCCCGGGGCUCAACUCCGGAAUUGCCUUUAAAACUGCAUCGCUAGAAUUGUGGAGAGGUAAGUGGAAUUCCGAGUGUAGAGGUGAAAUUCGUAGAUAUUCGGAAGAACACCAGUGGCGAAGGCGACUUACUGGACUGUAACUGACGCUGAGGCAUGAAAGCGUGGGGAGCAAACAGG